GACGAACGCUGGCGGCGUGCCUAAUACAUGCAAGUAGAACGCAGUUGCGAACGGGUGAGUAACGCGUAGGUAACUGCCUCAUAGCGGGGGAUAACUAUUGGAAACGAUAGCUAAUACCGCAUACUGUGAGAUGGACCUGCGUUGUAUUAGCUAGUUGGUGAGGUAAAGGGUCACCAAGGCGAGGAUACAUAGCCGACCUGAGAGGGUGUAUGGCCACCCGGGGAAUGGGACACGGCCCAGGAUCCUACGGGUGGCAGCAGUAGGGGAUCUUCGGCAAUGGGCGGAAGUCUGACCGAGCAACGCCGGGUGAGUGAAGAAGGUUUUUGGAUCGUAAAGAUCUUUUGUUAGAGAAGCGGUACCUAACCAGAAAGGGACGGCUAACUACGUGCCAGCAGCCGCGGUAAUAC
rnacentral:rRNA from 1 species